rnacentral:rRNA from 1 species
GUGAACGCUGGCGGUAGGCCUAACACAUGCAAGUCGAACGGCAGCACAGUAAGAGCUUGCUCUUACGGGUGGCGAGUGGCGGACGGGUGAGGAAUACAUCGGAAUCUACUUUUUCGUGGGGGAUAACGUAGGGAAACUUACGCUAAUACCGCAUACGACCUACGGGUGAAAGCAGGGGAUCUUCGGACCUUGCGCGAUUGAAUGAGCCGAUGUCGGAUUAGCUAGUUGGCGGGGUAAAGGCCCACCAAGGCGACGAUCCGUAGCUAGUCUGAGAGGAUGAUCAGCCACACUGGAACUGAGACACGGUCCAGACUCCUACGGGAGGCAGCAGUGGGGAAUAUUGGACAAUGGGCGCAAGCCUGAUCCAGCCAUACCGCGUGGGUGAAGAAGGCCUUCGGGUUGUAAAGCCCUUUUGUUGGGAAAGAAAAGCAGCAGGUUAAUACCCCGCUGUUCUGACGGUACCCAAAGAAUAAGCACCGGCUAACUUCGUG